CCACGUCCCGACGCACCACCCCCCCGGCGCCGGGACCUUCCCAGAGUCGGGCUCCGGCGCCAUCCCCCCGAGCGCCGGGGCCCGGCUCCUUU
rnacentral:ncRNA from 1 species